ensembl:scaRNA
GGCCUCUCCCCCUGGGGGCCGUGGGGGGCCAGUUUCUCCUCAGCCAAGGAGAAAGCCAAGAUCAGUCCUGAGGAUGAUUGUCAGGACUGCCAAGAGCUGGGCAGCCUUGUUUCCCUGCCUCAGACAUUC